AGUGAACGCUGGCGGUAGGCCUAACACAUGCAAGUCGAACGGCAGCACAGUAAGAGCUUGCUCUUACGGGUGGCGAGUGGCGGACGGGUGGGGAAUACAUCGGAAUCUACUUUUUCGUGGGGGAUAACGUAGGGAAACUUACGCUAAUACCGCAUACGACCUACGGGUGAAAGCAGGGGAUCUUCGGACCUUGCGCGAUUGAAUGAGCCGGUGUUGGAUUUACUAGUUGGGGGGGUAAAGGCCCACCAAGGCGAAGAUCCAGAGCCGACCUGUGAGGGUGGUAGGCCAAAAUGGGAAUGAGACACGGCACAGACCCCUACGGGAGGCAGCAGUAGGGAAUCUUCGGCAAUGGACGGAAGUCUGACCGAGCAACGCCGCGUGAGUGAAGAAGGGUGUCGGAUCGGAAAGCUCUGUUGUAAGAGAAGAAAGAGUGUGAGAGUGGAAAGUUCACACUGUGACGGUAUCUGACCAGAAAGGGACGGCUAACUACGUG
rnacentral:rRNA from 1 species